AUUUAUAAUUCCUGAGAUGACAGCAUCAUUCACCUCUGUGUCCCCGUCCCCUCCAUCCUCCUACACCUGGGGAGAGCAGGUGCUACCCAGAAGAAUGUCAUCUCCACCAUGUUCAAGGCCAGGUCCCCGCCUUACCAUUUGCAUCAAGGCCAGAUCCUAGUCCAGCGAGCAUGGAAUGGGAAGCUUCUGUCCACUACGACCUGCGGCAUGUGUCAAUGGGGAUUAUUUGGGGGCAGUUCAACAAGCCCUGUAUAUUUUCAGCAAUGCUUUGUUUUUCUCCCCAAAACACAAAGUGCUAUUUAGUCGUAGGAAAGCGAGGGAGGGACAGUCCUUUCCACUGAGCGGAUAGGAAAGCCUCAUCCCCUGGGUGGGAGUAGACUGCAGGGCCAUUGCCACCACGUGUGUACCCCAUCGCACGGACUUACUCCCCUCAAGCUGGCGUGAGCUCUCCACGGUAACAACUGGCUGCUUUAAAAGCUCCCCACAUGAUUCUAUGGAGAGAGAGCAGAGCCUGGGCCCCGAGCAGAAGGCCUCAUCUGAGGCCAGCAGGCCAGGUGCAGCGUCAUAGAACAUAGAGCCCAGGCAGCCCUAGAUGCUGUGGCUUCUGUGUUGAGAUGAAAGGAGGAGGAAGGGGUCACGUGAUCCUUAUACACAGCCGAGGAAAAGAUCCCCAGGCCCCAGUUCUUUCGACUCCUCUCCUUUCAGAAUCAGCCCUCCCGGGGCUCUGACUGUGGCUGGGGGGAGGGCGGGCACGUAUUCACGAGCGGUGCUCACUGCGCCUCCUUGACCCUGGCCGUUGCUCCGUCCUCGCGUGACUAUGGGAGGCAGCUCUUUAGAGCAGUAGUUCUCAAACUGGAGUGUGCGCCAGAAUCCCCUGGAGGACAUAUAAAAACACAGAUCGCUGGGUCCUGCCCCUGGAGUUUCUGACUCAGUAGAUCUGGGGUUGGGCCCAAGAAUGUACAUAUCUGGUGAGGUCCUGGAUGAUGCUGGUCCAGGGACCACCCUUUGAGAACCUGCAUGUCCACAGCCCUGGUUAGCAGGCCUGGAUCCCUCCUUGGGAACGUGGCAAGAUGUGUCAGAGGCUGCGCUGGGCAAAUUCAAACUCCAAACACGAGACCACCAGGCAAGAGCCGUUCUUGACUCUGGGCAUUCGGGGAUCACAGAGAGAGGCUUAGCAGCUCUCCGGUCCUGGGCCAGGAAAGCUUUCUACAGUCACUGUUCUGUGGGUGGAGGUCACGAAGUCCAGACUGGAGAUGGUGAGUGGAGUGGAGGGGCAGGUGCGUGCGCUGGCUUUGGUAAGGGAUAAACAUGUCCCAAACCACCAAAGUGGGGCACAUGAGAAGAAUUAUUGAUGGAUGGUUUUUGGCCAGAGGUGCAAAGCAGACCACCCCUCUGGGGGCUCGGUGCUGUCUGCAUGAGUGUCAUCAUUGGUCACUUGCUUCACGCUGGCUCCUCCAGGGACCCUUCCUCUUCAGCAGCCUCCUUGGGUAAGGAGCAGUGUUGUGGCUGAGAAUCUUGGGUUUGUGUACCGCUUUGUCACCUGCUAGUUCAGGGGCAAGGUUUCUGAACCAUCCAAGCCUCCGUUUCUUUCUUUCUUUUUUUGUCCUUUUAGGGCCUCACCUGAGGCAUAUGGAGGUUCCCAGGCUAGGGGUUGACUCAGAGCCGUAACUGCCCGCCUAUGCCACAGCCACAGCAACUCCGGAUCCGAGCUGUGUCUGUGACCUACAUCGCGGCUCACAGAAAUGCUGGAUCCUUAACCCAUUGAGCAGAGCCAGGGAUGGAACCAGAGUCCUCAUGGUUAUUAGUCAGGUUCAUUACCUAUGAGCCCCAACAGGAACUCUACCAAUCCUCACUUUCUUAACAGGUAAGACAAGAUAAUAUUCUCUGACCCGUCAACCUCUCAGGUUGUGGGGUGGACCUAAUUGCAUCAUUCAGUGUGGUGCUGAGCAUUCCUGGGAAUGCUCCUGAGGUUAGGGCUCUCUGCAAGGAAAACAGCCACAAGGGCAGCCUGGGUGCUCUUUGGAAAAUACUAGGAGGGGAGGAGACCCGAAGGCGGGGCUUGGCUUUUCCACCCACUCACCUUCCACAAGCCACUCCAUCCUUUCAUCUUCACUUUCCUCCUCUGUACCAUGAAGUUGGAAUAAAUUCAGAACCUCUUCUGGCUGUAACUGGUUUGAGUCCAUUGGCAACUGGAAGACUCAAGGAGAGGCUGGAAGGUCUAAACACCCAGAUAGCCAGGAGCGUUUCUUCCAAACCACCAGGCUGGAUGUGUGGGGCGCCGACGGCCGACUCCUCAUGCGAUCCCGAGCCUCAGGUUGCUGCUGGGCGGCCCUAACCCCCGGCCCUGCUCCGCUCGCCCCUCCCUGCCGGGCUGGGAUGCGGAGUCGGCGGAAAGUGUGCGCGCUCUGCCUGGGGCCCGCCAGACCCGCGCCGGCGCACCCGGCUCGCGCAGCCAAUCGGCGCGUGCACCGCGGGUGACCUCCCCCGGGCCCCGGAUAAAUCGUCAAGUUGCCCCGCCGCGGGUCUCAGUCUUCUGGCCUAAUUAGCGGAGCCGGUCAUGAGCAGCGCGGAGGCCCGGGCCGUCCCGCGGGCUGGGGAGGGGCACGGGCGCGCGGCGCGCUUCUCUGGGGCCGAGACCUCUCCGCGCCGCGGGUAGACGGCUGGGCGGUCGCCGCCCAGAGCGCUCCCGGAGCCGCCUUCGGGCGCAGCGACCUUGGCCGGUCGGUGCCCGCACCCCGGAGAGGAGACUUGGGCUGGUCCGGGCGUGGACGUCCCGCGGCUUGCCACCCUCUCCCUCGGACCCUGGGCUCGGAUCUCCCGCGGCCGAGAUGCCGCAGAUGCUGAACCUGCCGCCGCCCACAGACCUCAGACGCGCCUUUCCUGGAGAGUCUGAACUUCUGAAAAUCCCGGGGCCGCGUCGCGGGUAUUGUUUUUGCGUUGUCUUCUGCUGGGCUUUGGCUUUGGGAUUCUCUGGCUACCUGGAUACGCCUUUCCUUUGUGGGUAAGUCUCCCGUGGACCGCAGCACCAGUAAGCAACCCCGGGGAAUAGCAGCGUUUAAAAUCCCCACCUGGAGGCGCCUGGGGUUUGGAGACGAGGACCCCACUGCUGACCACGUAAGAGCUCUCUGAUUCCACCUUUCCUCUGAUGGGGAGAAAUAUCAUUCCAUGGCAGAAUUUUCUUUAAGCACAUUGUCUGAUAGGAUUGGCAAUUACUAACCAAGAAAAUGAGUAGCAAUUAGGAGUUCAGUAAUAAAUGGAAGUCUAUUGUCCUAAUUGAGUGGAAUUACUGAUGGGUAAUGGCAACACUGAAUUUCUCAGUUUAAUUAAGAGUUUAUAUAAUUAUAGUGCACUUUUUAUUUCUUGGGGGAGCCAUGGGGUAGGAAUUAAAUAACCGGUGUGAUGGGUAAGAAACCCAUUUAAUGGAUAAGUAACCGUUGGGUUGGAAUAAAUGUGGGUGCCUUUGCUCAAGUAAUGGGAACUUAGAUGAAGUCCUAAUCAAGGGAUGUGCCAGCUUGGGCCAGGCAGGGCUUUCUUUCAGCUGCGAAUUCCUGUCUGAUACAAGUCUGUGUGGCUUAGAUAUUAUUAGGUCAUCUCUGCCACUGGCACACUGACAUUGGGCUGUUCCAAAAACAGCAAAGCUCAGCACUCCCCCGCAGUGGGAUUAGCCCACAUCCAUGCUUUCUGUCACUGUGUCUGCCACAUUCCCCAAGAAUGAAAUGAGAGGGUCAUUUGAGAGCAUAUGCCGUCUGGGGUGUUUCUGUAUCAAGAAUCUCAUGAUCUCGCCCUGCAGCUGUAGUUGUGAUAGGACGGGGCUGGUGAGUCCCACUGAAGUUGUGCAGCCUCAAAACGGAGUGACCAUGUAGGUGUGGAAUUUGUUUGAGAACAAAUUCUGUAAUUAUGAAGUUGUGAUUUUCCUCAUUGCUGGUGUAUUGUUUCCUUUGCUAUUAUGUUCUCAUGAAAUAGGUCCCCUCAUGGGAAGCAGCGAAACUGGAGCAAAAUCCCUUCUCAGAGGAUAAUUUUCCUGGUUUGUUUUUGUUUGGUUGGUUUUUUUUUUUUUGGGGGGGGGUGUAGGUUUCUGGGAAUCCUUUUAACCCUGCAUUGGGAUGUGUGUGUUUAUUUCUGUAAGAAGCUCCAGCAGAUUUGGCAAUUGCUAUGUUUUUGAGUAUACUGGGAUAUAAUCAGCACUUCCAGUUAGAAUAUUUAUUUGUACGUUGGCGGCGUCUUCUGGCUCUCAUAAGGUCUAGAUGUUUCAACAGGAUGAGCAGAGACCCCCUUCUCCAGCGAGCUCCCGUGUCACAGAGUGGGAUUGGGGAGCACCAUUAACCUUGUGUAUCGCUGCAGAAGAGACAGCCAGUGGCAGGAACGGAGCAGUGCAUCUUAAGUGCUGCAUGGGUCCUAACGUUUGCAAGGCCUUUGGGAACUUAGCCCUACUCCCCCACUGUUAAUGAGAAGGAGCAGGAUGGAGGGAUGUUUGCUGUUGGGUGCCCCAGCCUCAGCCCUUUCAGGCGUGUUGCAGGUGCCUGGGACAGAACAGGGAAGUGACUAGAGGCUGUGCCCGUGUGAUUGUCCAGAAUUGUCCUGCUCUGGUUUUUCCUCUAUCGCCCCAGCCCUGUUUUGUUAUCGCGGCUAUGGAAAUCCUACAACACUGUUGAAAACACCUACACCUGUCCUCCCAGAACCUUGGCCGCUUCGUGCAGGCUCAUUUGACUGGUUUGCUUCUCCUGUUUUAUGUUCUUCCCAAGGCACAGCAGACUUCUGUACAACAGGCAGAUUCUUAAACACACAACACGGAUGGCAACGUGAGGCUUGUAACCUUCGAGAAUGACAUGCUACCGCAUUUCAUGAUUUUUUGUAAGGGGUAAUUAUUAACGAUCACAACUCCCUACCGUCCCUCUUUUUCCUUAGCACUCACGGUUCCUUCGCACACCUGCCUGUAACUGUUUAAAAAAGCGCUAUGAUAGGAGUUCCCACUGUGGCACAGUGGGAUCAGCAGCAUCUCUGCCAGCACCAAGACACAGAUUCCAUCCCCGGCCCGACACAGUGGGGUAAGGAUCUGGCAUUGCCUCAGCUGUGGCGUAAGUCACAACUGCAGCUCAGAUCUGAUCCCCCGGCCUGGGAGCUCC
rnacentral:lncRNA from 1 species